UGCAGUCGACGCGAACGAGUUCUUCGGAACUUUAGUAGAGUGGCGCACGGGUGAGUAACGCGUAAGUAAUCUACCCUCGCAUCUGGGAUAACCCACCGAAAGGUGUGCUAAUACCGGAUACGUCUAAGUUAAUAUCUUUUUUUUAGAGAAAGGUGGCCUCUGAUUCAAGCUACUGUGCGGGGAGGAGCUUGCGUACCAUUAGCUAGUUGGUAGGGUAACGGCCUACCAAGGCGACGAUGGUUAGCGGGUCUGAGAGGAUGAUCCGCCACACUGGAACUGAAACACGGACCAGACUCCUACGGGAGGCAGCAGUGAGGAAUAUUGCGCAAUGGGGGCAACCCUGACGCAGCGACGCCGCGUGGAUGAUGAAGGCCUUCGGGUUGUAAAAUCCUGUCAGAUGGGAAGAAGUGUGUAGUACUUAAUACGUGCUACAUUUGACGGUACCAUCAAAGGAAGCACCGGCUAACUCCGUG
rnacentral:rRNA from 1 species